rnacentral:rRNA from 2 species
GGAGCAUGUGGUUUAAUUCGAAGCAACGCGAAGAACCUUACCAGGUCUUGACAUCUCCUGACAACCCUAGAGAUAGGGCCUUCCCCUUCGGGGGACAGGGUGACAGGUGGUGCAUGGUUGUCGUCAGCUCGUGUCGUGAGAUGUUGGGUUAAGUCCCGCAACGAGCGCAACCCUUGAUCUUAGUUGCCAGCAUUGAGUUGGGCACUCUAAGGUGACUGCCGGUGACAAACCGGAGGAAGGUGGGGAUGACGUCAAAUCAUCAUGCCCCUUAUGACCUGGGCUACACACGUGCUACAAUGGAUGG